rnacentral:misc_RNA from 1 species
CAUUUUUCGAUUUUCCCCGACUUUCUCCGACGAUGCGAUGGCGAUAGCGAUGGUGAUUCCGGUGACUUAUGCUCCGACGAUUGACACGAUCAUUUGAGGCAGUCUCCUUUGUCCAGAUUUUCUUCUUCAACCUCUUUCUCUUGCUUACCCACCAAAUUCAUCAUCUUUGAAACUGCUUCAUCCCUUUCGCUUUGGUGAUUCUGAAGACUCCGCUUUAUACCCAUUUUGAUCUGUAAGUUUCGAUUUUCGAUCUCCUUUGUUAGUUUCCUGUCAUAUUUAGUUAGAAAUUGUUCCGAGCAUUGAAUUUUUGCGUACAUGAAUCUCGUUUUUAAUCUGUGUUUGUGUGAUCAAUUUGUGAAAUUUUGAAUUGGGUUUGUUUGCUCGAUGGUGUUUUAUUCAUUGGCUAAUUCCCCAACUGAUAACUUUCAAUUUCUGAGAUGGUGGUAGUUAUAAAACUAAGGCUAAAACACUAAUCUUUGCUCUUAAGUAGUGUUGGUUUGGAUUGAUUUUUGUUAGAAACAAUGAUUGGAGCAUAAGUUUUGUUACAUGUAGUUAUGGCACAUCGAACAAGGAGAUAUUAUCUUAUAGAAGAAUGCUUCCAAGUUAGUUGCUUUUGUGCUAUAUCUUGAGGACUUAAGGCUUAUGGUUAGUGUUCAUACUUUGUUUUCUUGUUUGGUCUAUAAUAGACACUACUGGUUGAAUUAGAAUCUGGAACCGACAUUAGUGUUUUUGUUGGCCAAUAUUUUGUUACUGCGAUGAAAUGAAAAAAUCACGAGCUGAUGAUGGCUAUGAUGAAGCUUAUUGGGUCUGAUGAUUUGGGUAUUAAUAAUAAACUCCUUAGAUUUAGUCAAACUAUGAUCCUACAGGACCUCCUCAUCUCUUAGCAACAAUGUAAUCUAUUACUAGGGAAGAACAAAAACAAUAAUCUAUUUUAUGGUGAUUGAUGCUUGAUUGGAACAAUUAGGCAAUGAUGCUUUCAGAUUUAGAAAGUCUUGAUUUUGGAUUUAGUCUUGGUGGACGUAAUAUGGUCGGCGUUAGGAGCAGUGGAGACUUUGAAUUUCAUGUGAUUAAAUUGUGAUUAUGCAACAUUUCCCUAUGCUCUUAAGACUGUGAUUAAACAAAACUUUACUAUAGUAGCGAAAAGCAACGGUCAGUUUCAUACAUGAUAGUUGAUGAUAACUGUGUGUGUGAAUGCAUGUAUAUUAAUAGCAUUCCGGUGAAUCAUAACUUCAUUCUACCACCAUUCAAGAUUUAGCAAAUACAGACACUAACUACGAAAUGAGAUUCAUUGGAUAUAACCAAAUUCCAAGCACUCCUAGUCCUCUUGGCUUUGGGACACUUUUAAGCUCUGUCAAUCUUUAUUUCUGUUUUGAACUGAACGUUUGUUGUCAUUGGCUGCAAAAGCUGUCAUUUGGCUAAUGAUCGAAUUGUGGAAACAAAGGAUAAUUAUAGAAUGGUUCAAAGAAGUUGGUUUCUUCUUGGUUUAAAUCUUGUUUCUUCAAUGUUCAAAUACUUUUGAUGUCUUUUAUUAAUUUUUAUGAAACAAUUUUUUUUUUCCUAAGAACCUAAUUAGAGAGACUAACCAUUGGACUAAGAAAACUUAAAAUAAAAAACACAAGUUCUCAUCUAACAAAAUUUCAAAUAAUUUAUACUAAAACAAUUGGUGAGAGCCCAUGGGGGACUCUCACCGUUGGAGAUGCUCUAAAGUUUCUUCUACGUUUGAAAUAAUACAUUCUGAUUUGUGGACUUCUCCUAUUCCUAGUCUAUCCGGAAUUCGUUACUAUGUUUUGUUUCUCGAUCAAUUCUCUCAUUUUCUAUGGAUUUAUCCUCUUCGCAAUAAGAGUGAUGUGUUCUCAAAAUUUCUGCAAUUUCAUACCUAUGUCAAAACACAAUUCGAGAAACACAUUAAAUCUCUACAGUGUGAUAAUGGUGGUGAGUAUAAAAACUCACAGUUUCAUGAUUUCUUUGCUAAACACGGGAUACAGUUUCGUUUUUCGUGUCCAUACACCUCUCAACAAAAUGGCAGAUUGGAACGCAUGAUACGAACCCAUCAACAAUGCUUUUUGCACUAUGCUGCUUCAAGCUCAUCUUCCCAAUACGUUUUGGGUAGAAGCUCUAAGGGCAUCUCCAAUAGUAAUCUCUAUAUUUUCCUCUAUUUAUAGAGAUGACUCUAUUUUAAAGACAUUGUGCUCCAAUGGUCACCUUUAAAAUAGAGUUUCCUCUGAAAUAGAGGAAAAAAUAGAGAUAUAUACUUUUUGUCUCUAUAAAUAGAGAUCUCUACAAUUCAUCUCUAUUUUUUCCUUUAUUUUUGAGGAAACUCUAUUUUAGAGGUGACCACUGGAGCACAAUGCGUCUAAAAUAGAGUUCCCUCUAAAAUAGAGAAAAAUAUAGAGGUGAUCAUUGGAGAUGGUCUAAAUAAUGCAGUUCACAUUCUCAAUCUCCUUCCAUCCACUUCUAUCGAUAACAAAAUUCAUUUCUCAGUGUUAUUCAACAAAACACCAUCUUACUCUCAUCUUAGAGUUUUUGGUUCUCUUUGUUAUCCUCACACAAAUAAUCAAAACAAACUUGAUCCAAGGUCAUCACCAUCAGCUUUCCUAAGUUAUCCUCUACUUGACUCAGGGUAUAGAUGUUUUGAUUUAAAAACACGGAAAAUUGUGAUAUCUCGUCAUGUCACAUUUUAAGAGGAUAUCUUCCCUUACCAAAUCACCAAUGCUAAAAUCGACUCUGCUUAUGACUUUCUUGAAGCGGAUACAGAGCCUUCUCAAAUUCAAAAGCAGCUUUUGCUUACACCUUCUCUUCCAGCGACAAAUGAAACAGAUCUAGUUUUGACUGCUCUUGCUCCUCAUGUAGCGACUCAACCACCACCACAGCGUAUGGUGACUAGAUCGCAGCAGGGCAUUCGUAAACCAAAGAAAAUUCUCUCACUAAAUGCUCAAACACUUUCCCAAAUUCCAAAGGGUUAUAAGCAAGCUCUAAUGGAUCCGAAUUGGAAUCCUUCAAUGACAGAAGAGUAUGAUGCUUUGAUUAAGACUUACACUUGGAGUUUAGUGCCUAAACCUGCAGGUACAAACAUCAUCAAUUCGAUUUGGUUGUACAAGCACAAGUUUAAUGCUGACGGCUCACUCUCUAGAUAGAAAUUCAGACUUGUCUCUAAUGGUAAAUUUUUGGAACAAGGAGUCAAUUUUGAUGAAACGUUUAGCCCAGUGGUUAAGCCUGCUACAAUUCGUGCAGUAUUGAACUUUGCGGUUGAACGACAUUGCCUGGUGCAUCAGUUGGAUGUACAAAACGCCUUUUUGCAUGGAGAGCUUGAAGAAACAGUUACAUGUAUCCACCAGCAGGGUUUGUUGACAAUAGGAAUCCGGGUUAUGUAUGCAAGCUAAAUAAGGCGUUGUAUGGCCUGAAACAAGCACCACGGGCUUGGAAUGCUCGGUUUGUAGCUUAUGUUAAAAGAUGGGUUUUGUGCAGAGUAAAUGUGAUGCUUCUCUAUUUGUGUACAAACACGGGCAAGACAAGGCCUACUUGUUGCUCUAUGUCGAUGACAUAAUGCUUACAACAUCCUCAUCCAGAUUCCUUGACUCCAUAGUCGACAAACUCAAAACGGAAUUCCCAAUGUUAGACACAGGUAAACUCAGCUUCUUUCUAGGCAUCUCAGUUAUGCUCGAUAGUAACGGCAUGUUCUUAUGCCAAGAAAACUAUGCAAAGGAUAUUAUUAAGAGGGCAGAGAUGCAAAACUGCAAACCCAGCCUCACACUGGUUGAUCUAGCUUCAAAGCUAGAAGAGAAUGUUGGACCAAAGAUACAAAACCCGACUCUGUAUAGAAGCUCGGCAGGAGCACUGCAAUAUUUAACUAUUACAAGACCGAAUAUAUCUUAUGAUGUCUAACAAGUCUGCUUGUUCAUGCAUGACCCAAGGGAAAUACACCUUCAUGCACUCUGACGUAUCUUCCGCUAUAUCAAGGGGUCUCCUUCUUAAGGUCUUAGUAUUACUAAGUCUCCAUCAACGAAAUUGGUCGCUUAUUCGGAUGCGGACUGGGCUGGGUGUCCAAACACGAGGCGUUCAACUUCAGGGUACUAUGAUUUCCUUGGUGAUACUCUAAUCUCUUGGUCGUCUAAGCGACAAGGCUCGGUUUCAAGAUCAAGUGCAGAAGCAGAAUAAAAGGCAGAGGCAAACGCGGUGGCAGAGACUUGUUGGAUACGGAACUUAUUGUUCGAGUUACAUUAUCCGUUAUCGCAGGCAAUGUUGGUGUUUUGUGACAAUGUGAGUGUCGUAUAUCUCUCUACCAAUCUUGUCAAGCAUCAGCGAACCAUGCAUGUUGAAAUAGACAUACACUUUGUGCGGGAGAAGGUCGCAAAAGGCGAGGUUCGUGUCAUUCACAUUCUUGCAACACAUCAAUACGCAUACAUUUUCACUAAGGGCCACAUUACUUCCCUGUUCAAUCAAUUCAAGUCAAGCCUUGACGUCAUUACAAGACCGAUGCUAAGACUGCGGGAGGGUAUCAGGAGAUAGGAUAUUCUUCUCAAUAUUCUUCUCAAUAUGUUUGUUAUAAGUUUAGUUACGACUUUGUUAAUAUCCUCAUGUACCUAGAAUGUAGGAAAGAUCUGUACUCUUGUAACUAAAUCGUGUAUAUAUUCACUCUAAUGCAAAGCUAUCUUCUCAAGGAGACUUACACAAUCUUACAGAAUCAGACAUCAAAAAUGAUGGUGGAUUUUUGAUAGAUGCUCCUUCUUUGCAGCUCUUGGAGAUUCAAGAAUAUCCAGAUGGGUUUUGUGGCAUUGAGCAUAGUAUGCCUAAGAUUGAAACCGCAAAUGUUUAUGUUACUCAUACUGAGCAGAUUCUUUCUUCUCUUACUUCAAUCAAGUAACUCGGAUUACGUUUAACGACAUCAAAGACCAAAGGUCAUGAAUGGAGCACUUCGGUUUGAGGACGAUCUCAAGUAUGGACUCGGUAAUUGUCCCAUAGAUCCACAUUUUGACAAGAUCAUUGUGCUCUUUCCAAGAUUUUUCAGUUUCCGGCGUGGAGGAGGAAGUGUUGUCGAUGUGCCAAUAUAUUAGGGGCUGGUUUGGCUCGGUUCUCUUUAGUUACUCUUGGUAUAAUCAUCUACGAAUAUACUCUAACAGAUGCAUAUAUUCUUUGUAACUAGAAUUAGAUAGAUCUUCCUAGAUUCACGCUUUCGGUUGUACAUUGACUCUAUAUAUGUUGUAUGCUGUUCAUUGUGAUCAAUAACACGAAUCCAUUUGAUCUCUGAAAUCCUUUACAAGAACACCAAAACUGCUACUAUGCAUUUCAAAAAGCUCUCUCCAUGUAUCGUAGUUGAGUUUGGCCUUGUCAAGAGUGAUGAGAAUGUAAGAUUUGAUUUGGCUAAUAGAGAACGGUUUGUCAGAGGUGGUAGAUAGAUUGGUACGGGCCAUCGUUGAGAAUAGAGAGUAAUUAAAAAACAAAAAAAUAUAAAAAGAAAAACAAAAGGUUUAGAUGAGGAAG